AUUUUAAACCGUAGUAGUUGCUCUAGACACGCGAAAGUGUGUCUAUGAGAGGAAAGUCCGAGCACCAAAGAGCAGGGUGGUCGCUAACGGCGACCGGUCCAGUGGUAACACAUGGACAAGGGAAAGUGCCACAGAAACUAUACCUUUCGCCUCGGCGGAUAAGGGUGAAAAGUCCGUAAUAAUUAGUACGGUCUCCAAUCGCGUGAGCGUAUUGGGGCGGUAAACCCCACCUGGUGCAAGGUUGUAUGGGGGAAUGGGAUUAAUGAAUUGCUCGUUUAUCCAUUCCUGCAACCGCUAAAUAUCCCGAUUUACUUCGGGGUUAAGAUAGAUAACUACUUCCCCAAUUUACUUCGGGGAACAGAACUCGGCUUAUGAGUUUUGAAUAAUU
rnacentral:RNase_P_RNA from 1 species